GGGGGCGUUCUUGGAUUCGACGGGAAUAGUUCGAGCAUGAAUAGCGGGUAGUGGGGCUGCGGCCGCUUUAUCAACGCGGAAAGCCAAUUAAACGGCAAACAACAACAACCUUCUCUGGCUCUGGCCGCCUAAUAACGGUCACCAGGCUUCUACCCUCCAUCGCCCAUGUGGCGGGAUAGGGGCUCAACUUUAGUGGGAUACGCUGUCUAGUCUCCGCCUGGGGCUAGCUGAAGAAGACAAUCAGGCUGACCCAAAGCGUAGCCGGUUCCGGGGCGACGCUCGGGUGACAUCAAAACUGGGACUACACCCGUAGAAGUUUGUGUGGCGUUAUUUUCGGACAGGGGUUCGAUUCCCCUCGCCUCCAUAA
rnacentral:tmRNA from 1 species